rnacentral:rRNA from 1 species
GACGAACGCUGGCGGCGUGCUUAACACAUGCAAGUCGAACGGAAAGGCCCUGCUUUUGUGUGGUGCUCGAGUGGCGAACGGGUGAGUAACAAGUGAGUAAUCUGGCCUUGACUUUGGGAUAACUUCAGGAAACUGGGGCUAAUAACUGAUAGGAGCUCCUGCUGCAUGGCGGGGGUUUGAAAGUUUCGGCGGGUGGGGAUGGAAUCGCGGCUUAUCAGCUUGUUGGGGGGGUAGUGGCUUACCAAGGCUUUGACGGGUAGCCGGGCUGAGAGGGUGACCGGCCCGAUUGGGAUGGGACUGAGGCCCGGACCACAACCGGAGGGAAGGGUGGAGAAUAUUGUACAAUGGGCGGAAGCCUGAUGUAGCAACGCCGCGUGGGGGAUAACGGCCUUCGGGUUGGAAACCGCUUUCGCCUGUGACGAAGAGUGAGUGACGGUAAUGGGUUAAGAAGCACCGGCUAACUACGUG